UCAGGCCUAACACAUGCAAGUCGAGCGCACCUUCGGGUGAGCGGCGGACGGGUUAGUAACGCGUGGGAACGUGCCCAGAUCUGCGGAAUAGCCACUGGAAACGGUGAGUAAUACCGCAUACGCCCUUCGGGGGAAAGAUUUAUCGGAUUUGGAUCGGCCCGCGUUAGAUUAGGUAGUUGGUGAGGUAACGGCUCACCAAGCCUACGAUCUAUAGCUGGUUUUAGAGGAUGAUCAGCAACACUGGGACUGAGACACGGCCCAGACUCCUACGGGAGGCAGCAGUGGGGAAUCUUGGACAAUGGGCGCAAGCCUGAUCCAGCCAUGCCGCGUGAGUGAUGAAGGCCUUAGGGUCGUAAAGCUCUUUCGCCAGGGAUGAUAAUGACAGUACCUGGUAAAGAAACCCCGGCUAACUCCGUGCCAGCAGCCGCGGUAAUACGGAGGGGGUUAGCGUUGUUCGGAAUUACUGGGCGUAAAGCGCGCGUAGGCGGACCAGAAAGUUAGGGGUGAAAUCCCGGGGCUCAACCCCGGAACUGCCUCUAAAACUCCUGGUCUAGAGUUCGAGAGAGGUGAGUGGAAUUCCGAGUGUAGAGGUGAAAUUCGUAGAUAUUCGGAGGAACACCAGUGGCGAAGGCGGCUCACUGGCUCGAUACUGACGCUGAGGUGCGAAAGUGUGGGGAGCAAACAGGAUUAGAUACCCUGG
rnacentral:rRNA from 1 species